rnacentral:tRNA from 1 species
GAAAUGUGCCCGAGAUACCAAGGAUUACUUUGAUAGAGUAAAAUACAGAGAAUAAUACCUCUCAUUUCCU